rnacentral:rRNA from 1 species
UACGUAGGGGGCAAGCGUUGUCCGGAAUUAUUGGGCGUAAAGCGCGCGUAGGCGGUCAUUUAAGUCUGGUGUUUAAUCCCGGGGCUCAACCCCGGAUCGCGCUGGAAGCUGGGUGACUUGAGUGCAGAAGAGGAGAGUGGAAUUCCACGUGUAGCGGUGAAAUGCGUAGAUAUGUGGAGGAACACCAGUGGCGAAGGCGACUCUCUGGACAUUUCCUGACGCUGAGGCACGAAAGCCAGGGGAGCAAACGGG